GAAGAGUGUCAGGCUGCGAUAUUUUGUGAAAAGAAACAGCAUGCUAUUGCUGUAUUGUUGCGAUCAUCAUUAUGACUUGUGUUUUACUAUAUCAAGUUUACCUUUUUUAAUUUAAAUUGCAUGGGACGUGCCGUCAUUUUAGCUUUAUAAAUAAUCCGUCUGAGAAAAGGAAUUGUGUUUAAUUUUAUAUUCCCAAUAGCGAGGCUCUUCUUUCUAAGUUGGAUGGCGUUAAAUCUCCGUGUAUCAUCAACGUGAAAACAAGCGCAGUAUUUAAGGUUGGUAUACUACAAUGCAUUACAGUUAUCGUGUUAUUUUAUAGUCAAAUUUCCGCUUUGUUGUUUUAUUCUUGUACUGUAAUUUUAUAAAUACACUGUACAAAAUUAUGGCGUCAUACUUGUGUUUAUAAUGCCUCUAAUUUGACCCUAUUGUGUGUGUAUAUGUACUGUGUCACUGUGAUACAUAUGUACAUGUUUUGAGUUAAACGAAUUGUUUAAUAAAUUUUUGCUGAAGUAUGAUACCUGUUUGUAUGGAUAGAUUUUUACAUAUAUGUGCACUGUGUAUAGUUUAUACAUUGGUUCUCAGAUGAGUCUGAAGGUAUAUUGUUAUUAAGUUAUUUGUAUGUAUUGUUUUGUACAUUUUGCUGAGUAUGAUGCCUGUUUGUAUCUAGUUGUGGAUGGUUGUGAGAAUAUAAUUUUAGAGGUUACAUGUUUGCUAAUUUUAGAGAUGAUAAUGUAUCAAAUAAUAAUUUUCUUGUUAUGAUUUUGUAGAAAGAGAUUUACUUGAGUGGUUGGUUGGUCUUGAGCCUGUUCAGGAUGGAUAUGAUAAUGAAAGAGGUGAUCAAGGUGAUAGGGCAGAAAGUGAUGACGUUUAAGGGAGAAGAUGAAAGUGAUGAGGAGGAAAUCGCCCACGCUGUAGCAUUCAAGUGCAUCGGUGAUGCUCGUGAGAAAAACUACCAACAUCAUUUGGAAAAUUAAAUUAAGACAUAAUACCUCACUCUUCAUGAACAAGAUAAAACAGUGAACGUAAGAAUAUGGCCAGCACCAUUGAAUCCAAGGGACCCAAGUGCAAUAGGCAAUUCCAGCUUUUAGUUUAUUUUAUUAAAAUUUUUCAGCAUAAUCAGCAAUAUGAUACCUUACUGCUGGGGAGGGGGGUUAACCCCUCCUAACCCCCCCCCCCCAGUAAAUCCGCCCAUGAUUUAAUCCAAAAAUUUUCAUAAUGAAACCUGGUGAGUGGCGACUCAAGUGGUAGGAAAAAGCAUGAGUGUAUGUUGACAGAUGUUUUUAUAUAAUAAAUAGCAAUUAGCUAUGUUUAGCAAGUUAUUAGUGCAUUUAUUUCAAUUGGCUAACUUUUUUGUUUUUUCCAGCAUUUUUAAACAAACCAUAUGUUAUAAAUGAUAUAACUGGGUAUAUCUAAUUAAACCAAUCUGUCAUGUACACUCAUGCAAAUAAAACUAAGUACAUAAAUAACAACCUUGUACGCCAGGGGAGAAAAGACCCUGGUAGAUGCUGGUCACAUGAUCUGCUAAAAUCUAGCAGACUUUUAAUUAGCAAUCCAAGAUGAGG
rnacentral:lncRNA from 1 species